rnacentral:rRNA from 1 species
CAGCACCUCAAGUGGUCAGGAUGAUUAUUGGGCCUAAAGCAUCCGUAGCCGGCUCUGUAAGUUUUCGGUUAAAUCUGCAUGCUCAACAUACAGGCUGCCGGGAAUACUGCAGCGCUAGGGAGUGGGAGAGGUAGACGGUACUCGGUAGGAAGGGGUAAAAUCCUUUGAUCUAUUGAUGACCACCUGUGUCGAAGGCGGUCUACCAGAACACGUCCGACGGUGAGGGAUGAAAGCUGGGGGAGCAAACCGGAUUAGAUACCCGAGUAGUCC